rnacentral:antisense_RNA from 1 species
CGUUAUGACAGGCUAUGCAGGGCAGCCUUGUGCUGGUCGCAACCGUUUGAGCGAUAUUCUCACCCCUGUGUAGUCUGUCACCAUU